UUUUUUUUUUUGUUUGUUUUUGGUUUUGAUUAGUUAAUUGAGUUGAGGAAUUGAAAUUAAGCUGGAGGAGAAGCUGAUUGAAUUGUUUUCUUAGGUUUACAAAGCGUUCCGUUGAAUUUGUUUUAUUUAUUUAUUAUUUUUUGUAAUUUUAGUUAGAUUAUAUGGUUGGAUGAGUUUGAUCAAGGUUUAGCUGGUUUUGGUUGUGAUUUGGACUUGGAUUAUGGAGCAAUGGUGAGGUGGUGGAGUUGAGAAAUUUGAAAUUAAGCUGAAGGAGAAGAUAGUUCUUGCUGAAUGAAUUGUUAUCGUUUCGUUUAGUUUGACUUUUGGUCAAUUUGUUUUUAUUAUUUUUUGUAAUUUUAGUAAAUUAUAUGCUUGGUUGAGUUUAAUCAAGGUUAAGCGGGCUUCGGCUGUGAUGUGGACUUGGACUAUGGAGCAAUGGUUAGGUGAUUGAGUUGAAAAAUUGAAAUUGAGCUGGAGGAGAAGAUAGUUCAUGUUGAAUGAUUUUUUUUUUUUUUUUUUUUUUUUUUUUUUUUUUUUUUUCUAAUUUUGAAACAAUUGGGAUAGACAACAAUCAGGUUUAUUAAGCAUUUCUUUCUUUUAGUUCGAGUUUUGGUGAAUUUGUUUUUAUUAUUUGUUGUAAUUUUAGUUAAAUUAUAUGCUUGGUUGAGUUUAGGGACGGACCUAGGAUUUAAAGCUAGGGGGGACCGAAGUAUAAGGGGAAAAAAAUUGUGUGAAAUUUUUAUUAUAUUAUUAAUGUCUUUUUAUCUUUGUUACUCACCCACGGCCCCAAACACACGAUUACUUACCCACUACCAGCAUUAUGAAUUUUUUUGAGCAUUCAAAACUCACACUACCAUGCCACUGAUAAUAUCAAAAACACAUUAAAAACAUCCAUAUUUCAAAAGACAACAUUGGCAAUGGAAAAUUAUUAUUUACCUAUCACCAAAAAAAAAAAAAAAAAAAAGACAAAAUUAACCAGCAAUACCCAAACUUCUUAAAUCCUAAAUGGACCUAAUCCAAAAGCCAAGCAAGCAACAUUACAAAAUCCAUAUAACGACAAACAUAGACCCCACAAAACGACAUUAUGAAUUUAUAAUGUGCUACUAAAACACUUUUCCUAACUUUAGGAUUUUUUUUUUCCUGAAUUACUAGCCUCUGUAAGUUUGUUUGUGCAUGUUCCUAUUGUUGCCCCCACUACCAACAAACAGUUAAACAAAUAAAAUAUUCUUUACAUUCCCUACUCUCUGUAUAUAAUAUAAUUUACUCAGCAAAAAUAAUUUUCAGUCUCCGAGAGACAGACUCACAAACACAAUCACAGAUUCACAGAUUAAUUAUUCAUAUAUUCAAUUCACAAUCAUCCUCAGCAAAAAAAAAAAAAAAAAAAAAAACCCCACAAUCACAUUUUCACGCAAACUAUAAACAUAUGGUGUGGAGAAAGAGCAUCAGAGAAAAAUCAUAUCAGUAUUAGGUUUUGAAAGUGAGAAUAAAUACUUGAAAUUGGGUAGAUUGGGAUGGAGGUUGCAGAGGCCAGCAUUGGAGGUGGGGUGGGCAGCUGGAGAAGCUGGCGGCAUGGGCAGUGGGUAGGUGGCCGGUGGUUGAUGCUUGAUUAUCUCUCGGUCUCUCCUCUGUCUUCUUCUUCUUCUUCUUCUUCUUUUUUUUUUUUUUUUUUUUUUUUUUUUUUUUUUAAAUUUUAAAUUUGGAAUUAGGUUAGACGGCUUAUCUUUCCUUGUUGGGUUGGGGCCUGGGCUGAUAUGUUCUUGGAGGGGAGGGGGCCCAAUGGCCCAAACAUGAUUUUAAUACCCAAUUUACCUACUUUUUUUUUUUUGGGGUCGGGGGGGUCUGGGCCGGGCCCCCCUUUGGUUCCGUACCUGGUUGAGUUUGAUCAAGGUUAAGCAUGUUUUGGUUGUGAUAUGGACUUGGAUUAUGGAGCAAUGGUAGGUGAUUGAGUUGAGAAAUUGAAAUUAAGCUGGAGGAGAAGAUAGUUCAUGUUGAAUUAAUUGCUAUCUAAUUUUGAAACAAUUUGGAUAGACAACAAGUAGGUUUAUGAAGCAUUUCUUUCUUUUAGUUCGAGUUUUGGUGAUUUCUUAAAUUAUUUAUUGUAAUUUUAGUAAAUUAUAUGCUUUGUUUGUAUUCUUUUCUUUGCUGUGAGUUUACAAUUGUAAACAUAUUGCACUUUUGCUAUCAAUAAAACUUUUAUUACCUAUCCAAAAAAAAAAAAAAAAAAAAAUAGAGUUGAGAAAUUGAAAUUAAGUUGGAGGAAAAGAUAGUUCAUGCAGAAUGAAUUGUUUUCUAAGGUUUAUGAAGCGUGUCUUUUAGUUAGAGUAUUGGUGAAUUUGUUUUUAUUAUUUGUUGUAAUUUUAGUUAAAUUAUAUGCUCGGUUGAGUUUGAUCAAGGUUAAGCUGCUUUUGGACGUGAUUGAGAUGAGAAGUUAAAAUUAAGUUGGAGGAGAAGAUAGUUCAUGUUGAAUGGAUUGCUAUCUAAUUUUGAAACAAUUUGGAUAGACAACUAGAAGGUUUAUGAAGCAUUUCUUUCUUUUAGUUUGAGUUUUUUUUGGUGAAUUUGUUUUUAUUUAUUUAUUAUUUUUUGUAAUUUUAGUAAAAUUAUAUGAUUGGUUGAGUUUGAUCAAGGUUAAGCUGGUUUUGGUUGUGAUAUGGACUUGGAUUAUGGAACAAUGGUUAGGUGAUUGAAUUGAAAAGUUGAAAUUAAGCUGGAGGAGAAGAUUGUUAAUGUUGAUGAAUUGUUUUCUAAUUUUGAAACAAUUGGAAUAGACAACAA